AUUGAACGCUGGCGGCAUGCUUUACACAUGCAAGUCGAACGGCAGCACGGGGGCAACCCUGGUGGCGAGUGGCGAACGGGUGAGUAACACAUCGGAACGUGCCCAGUUGUGGGGGAUAACCUAUCGAAAGGUAGGCUAAUACCGCAUGAGCUCGGCAAGAGGAAAGCGGGGGACUCAGCGAUGGGCCUCGCGCGACUGGAGCGGCCGAUGUCCGAUUAGCUAGUUGGUGGGGUAAAGGCUUACCAAGGCGACGAUCGGUAGCUGGUCUGAGAGGAUGAUCAGCCACACUGGGACUGAGACACGGCCCAGACUCCUACGGGAGGCAGCAGUGGGGAAUUUUGGACAAUGGGGCAACCCUGAUCCAGCCAUGCCGCGUGAGUGAAGAAGGCCU
rnacentral:rRNA from 1 species